UUGCGAUACCUAAUAUCAACUUCUUAAAUCUAGGGACUGUAGUUGUUUUUCCUUCAACUAACAAAGUGCUCGCAAAUUUUUUUUGUAUUUAAAAUUUUAUAGUGAGUUGGAUUGAAAAUGUCAAAUUUCAUAGAAAAGUACUUUGAUGUGACCCCAGAUCCAAGAUCACCAGAAUAUUUUUUUAUUGGAUCUCUAAAGCAAACGACCUUACUUCUAGUAUUUUAUGCAUUUUUUGUUAAAAUAUUGGGCCCUAGACUGAUGAAAAACAGAAAGCCUUAUGAGUUAAAAACUAUCAUAAGAAUUUACAACAUAUCUCAAAUAUGCAUAAACGGUUAUUUGACUAUUGCGGGUUCAUAUUUGUUUUUUGUGCAUUCCAAAAUGAACGGACGAUGUUUUACGGUAGAUGAAAGUGACCCAAAAAGGGAAAAAUUCCACUUGAUGUUAAGUUACUCGUAUUGCUUAGUAAAAUUUCUGGAUUUAUUAGACACAAUUUUCUUCGUGCUAAGGAAGCGUUACAAACAGGUGUCUUUUCUACAUUUUUAUCAUCAUUUCAUUGUGGCUUUAGUAGGACCUGCAGUCUUUCGAUUUGUACCCAACGGUCACAUGAAUGGUAUGGGCUUGGUUAACACUUUUGUUCAUACCGUUAUGUACUUUUACUAUUUUCUUUCAAAUCUAUCACCGGGUAUAAAGAAUUCUUUGUGGUGGAAAAAAUACAUAACAAUUAUACAGCUACUACAAUUUGUAUUCUUAACUGGAUACUUCUUGUAUCCCUUGUCUAAUGGGGAGCUUUGUGGCUAUCCAUUUAAAUUUUUAUAUUUUGCACUAGCUCAAAAUUUUCUUUUCAUGAGUAUGUUUAGUAAUUUCUUUUACGUAACUUAUUGUAAGAAACCAAAACAGAAAGUCAAUUAAAUUAAAAAAACUUUUUAAUAUAAAAAUAAAAAAUAGUUUCCUUGGUAUUUGUUAAGAGCUGCAUCUUUGUAAGAGCAUCUCGAAAAAAUUGUAAUUCUGGAUUUAUUAUUAUUUUUAUAUUAUAUCGUUAUUAUUGUAGUCUAGGGUAAUAAGAUGGAAAUGAUCCCAGACUUGUAUAAAAUAUUAAGUGUUUUCACUAUUAUUAAAGUCCAACAAACCCCAUUUGUAGCUUAAAGACCACCUAGAAAGUAAACUGCAAAAAUAUGGAAUAUAAAUACCUCUGAAAAAUAAACGUUUUUUUUUUUAAUUACCAAAAUUUAUUGAAUAACCAAUUUUUUGUUUUUCCAUUUUUUAAGAAUCCAGAUGUGUAUUUUAUAAUAAAAACUUUUGAUACAAGAA